CAGUAGCCGCGGUAAUACGUAGGGUGCGAGCGUUGUCCGGAAUUACUGGGCGUAAAGGGCUCGUAGGUGGUUUGUCGCGUCGUCUGUGAAAUUCUGGGGCUUAACUCCGGGCGUGCAGGCGAUACGGGCAUAACUUGAGUGCUGUAGGGGUAACUGGAAUUCCUGGUGUAGCGGUGAAAUGCGCAGAUAUCAGGAGGAACACCGAUGGCGAAGGCAGGUUACUGGGCAGUUACUGACGCUGAGGAGCGAAAGCGUGGGUAGCGAACAGGAUUAGAUACCCGCGUAGUCCCUGUCUCUUAUA
rnacentral:rRNA from 1 species